GAUGAACGCUGGCGGCGUGCCUAAUACAUGCAAGUCGAGCGAACAGACGAGGAGCUUGCUCCUCUGACGUUAGCGUCGGACGGGUGAGUAACACGUGGAUAACCUACCUAUAAGACUGGGAUAACUUCGGGAAACCGGAGCUAAUACCGGAUAAUAUAUUGAACCGCAUGGUUCAAUAGUGAAAGACGGUUUUGCUGUCACUUAUAGAUGGAUCCGCGCCGCAUUAGCUAGUUGGUAAGGUAACGGCUUACCAAGGCAACGAUGCGUAGCCGACCUGAGAGGGUGAUCGGCCACACUGGAACUGAGACACGGUCCAGACUCCUACGGGAGGCAGCAGUAGGGAAUCUUCCGCAAUGGGCGAAAGCUUGACGGAGCAACGCCGCGUGAGUGAUGAAGGUCUUCGGAUCGUAAAACUCUGUUAUUAGGGAAGAACAAAUGUGUAAGUAACUAUGCACGUCUUGACGGUACCUAAUCAGAAAGCCACGGCUAACUACGUG
rnacentral:rRNA from 1 species